rnacentral:rRNA from 1 species
AGUGAACGCUGGCGGUAGGCCUAACACAUGCAAGUCGAACGGCAGCACAGUAAGAGCUUGCUCUUACGGGUUGCGAAUGGCGGACGGGUGAGGAGUACAUCGGACUCUACUUUUUCGUGGGGGUUCACGUAGCGAAACUUACGCUAAUACAGCAUACGACCUACCGUUGUAAGCAGUGGAUCUUCGCACCUUGCGCGGUUGAAUGAGCCGCUGUCGGAUUAGCUAGUUGGCGGGGUAAAGGCCCACCAAGGCGACGAUCCGUAGCCGGUCGGAGAGGAUGAUCAGCCACACUGGAACUUAGACACGGUCCAGACUCCUAAGGGAGGGAGCAGUGGGGUAUAGUGGACAGUGGUCGCGAGCCUGGUCCAGUGAUACGGCGUGUGUGAAGAAGGCGUUGGGGUUGUAAAGACCGUUUUUUGGGAAAGAAAAGCAGUCGGUUAAGACCCCGCUGGUCUGACGGUACUCAAUGAAUAAGCACCGGCUAACUUCGUG